UGGGGAAUUUUGCGCAAUGGGCGAAAGCCUGACGCAGCAACGCCGCGUGUGUGAUGAAGGUCUUCGGAUCGUAAAGCACUUUCGACCGGGACGAACACCUGUUGGCCAAUAUCCAACAGCCUGACGGUACCGGGAGAAGAAGCACCGGCUAACUCUGUGCCAGCAGCCGCGGUAAUACAGAGGGUGCAAGCGUUGUUCGGAAUUAUUGGGCGUAAAGCGCGUGUAGGCGGCUUUGCAAGUCGGGUGUGAAAGCCCUCAGCUCAACUGAGGAAGUGCGCCCGAAACUGCAGAGCUUGAGUGCCGGAGAGGGUGGCGGAAUUCCCCAAGUAGAGGUGAAAUUCGUAGAUAUGGGGAGGAACACCGGUGGCGAAGGCGGCCACCUGGACGGUAACUGACGCUGAGACGCGAAAGCAUGGGUAGCAAACAGGAUUAGAUACCCGCGUAGUCC
rnacentral:rRNA from 1 species